GCCCGUGUAGUGCAGUGGUUAGCACAUCUCCCUCCUAAUCAGGCGCAAGGAGAAGGCCGUGGGUUCAAACCCCACCUCGGGUG